rnacentral:rRNA from 1 species
AUUGAACGCUGGCGGCAUGCUUUACACAUGCAAGUCGAACGGUAACAGGCCGCAAGGUGCUGACGAGUGGCGAACGGGUGAGUAAUGCAUCGGAACGUGCCCAGUCGUGGGGGAUAACUACUCGAAAGAGUAGCUAAUACCGCAUACGAUCUAUGGAUGAAAGCGGGGGACCGUAAGGCCUCGCGCGAUUGGAGCGGCCGAUGUCAGAUUAGGUAGUUGGUGGGGUAAAGGCUCACCAAGCCAACGAUCUGUAGCUGGUCUGAGAGGACGACCAGCCACACUGGGACUGAGACACGGCCCAGACUCCUACGGGAGGCAGCAGUGGUGAAUUUUGGACAAAGGGCGCAAGCCUGAUCCAGCAAUGCCGCGUGCAGGAAGAAGGCCUUCGGGUUGUAAACUGCUUUUGUACGGAACGAAACGGCUCUGGUUAAUACCCGGGGCUAAUGACGGUACCGUAAGAAUAAGCACCGGCUAACUACGUG